GGUUGAUCCUGCCAGUAGUCAUAUGCUUGUCUCAAAGAUUAAGCCAUGCAUGUCUAAGUAUAAGCUUGUUUAUACGGCGAGACUGCGGAUGGCUCAUUAAAUCAGUUAUAGUUUAUUUGAUGGUCUCUUUUCUAUUUUUUUACCUACUUGGAUAACCGUGGUAAUUCUAGAGCUAAUACAUGCGCAAGGUCCCGAGCGCGGGGGGAGGGGCCUCACGGCUCCUUUCCCGCAUGCGCAGAGGGAUGUAUUUAUUAGGUUAAAAACCAGCACCGCAGUGCGGCGCGUCUUGCCG
rnacentral:rRNA from 1 species